GACGAACGCUGGCGGCGUGCUUAACACAUGCAAGUCGAACGGUUAAUCGCCUUCCGUUUUUUGGGGUGUGGAUGGGUGGCGAACGGGUGAGGAACACGUAAGUAACCUGCCCCCUUCUUCUGGAUAACCGCAUGAAAGUGGAGCUAAUACGGGAUAUUCUGGGUCUGUCUCAUGAUGGGUCUGGGAGAGAGAUUGUUUCGGUGGGGGAUGUGCUCGCGGCCUAUUAGCUUGUUGGUGUGGUGAGGGCCUACCAAGGCGGUGACGGGUGGCCGGCCUGGGAGGGUGGCCGGUCCGAGAGGGAGUGACGCACCGGACUGCCACGUAAGGGAGGAAGCAGGGGGGAAUAGCGAACGAUGGGAGUCAGACUGAUGAAGCGCCGCCGAGUGAGGGAUGGAGGCCUUCGGGUUGUCACCCUCUUUCGCCAGUGAAGCAGGCCUGCCUCGUUUGUGGGUGGGUUGACGGUAGCUGGACAAGAAGCGCCGGCUAACUACGUG
rnacentral:rRNA from 1 species